GCGGACGGUCGCACGGGUGGCAGGGGAUCCAUCACCGUGCAUAGGAAGGUGCUGCGUGGCCGCGCCUGAGGCAGUCGCGGCACCCGGCGCGGGAGGGGGCGGUGCCGGAGGCGGCCACACCAACGGUGAUGGCUGCCCAGGUGGCGGCAUCCAUGUGGGGGAGAAGGGGGCGACUGGUGCUGCCAGUGGUAUAGAGAGGUCGACGACUGAGUUAGGGAAGAGAGGGAGGGAUUGGGGCUUGAUACCAUGAUAUAAUUGGAAAACCCUAACCCUAAUUGGACAGGGGAUGUAUUAAUAUAUAGCCAAGUACAUGGCCAAGGCCCAUUACAAUGAUAAGACACACAAUACGUUAACAAUAAUAAAGGGUAAAGGUCAUGGUCCAUCUCUUAAUGCCCACGACAGUUGCUAAAGGCGAGUGGACGUAGAGCUGCAAACUGAUUGGGACUGAGGUGAAAUGUGUUUUGAGUUUUGAUGAGCUUCCGACCCACCUGUGAGUUUCAUCUUUCUCCAGUUCCAAUCUAGAAGUUGAGGUGAAACACAUGGAAGAAGCUACCAACUAGAUGUGAAAUCCUAGGACUUCGAAGCAAUUAGCAUGAAACUUCAAACCUAAAUGAAGUUACUUGUUCCCCCUUAUGUGACCAUAAACUUAUCAAUGAUACAUCCAUCAUAACCUUCAUUCAGUGCAGUGAUACAAUCUUAAGGAGUUGUUUAUUCCUUUCAUUACACAAUGAACCUAACAAUUGCAGAUUGUGAUGUUAUAUGUUUAGCCAUGGUUCUUGAA
rnacentral:lncRNA from 7 species